UCACACCAAGGAUUGUCAUGCAGAAGGUCUUCAAGCAGAAGGCCGACCAUUCGUUGUAUAUGGUGUGUUUGUCCAAGUUAUAAUCCACCGCGGUCAAACACUAUCUUAUAUCGCUCUACAAAUAUUUUAAAAUACAAUAUGAAUCAAAAGACAAGUUCAAGGUUAGAACACCUCUUGUUGAGAAUAAUACACAUAAUAAUAGUAAUAUUAAUAAUAAUGUAGUAGUAGGUAGUAGGUACACAGGUAUUUAAAUGCAUAAAACAUAAAGCCUAUUGUAAGACACACCGUAGGCACUCUUUCAAACGCUCUCUCUCUCUCUCUCUCGUUAGCACAAGCACACACACAUUGCACAUAUAUACACACACACACACACACACACGCGCGCGGGCGCGAGCACACACACACACACACACACAAACGAGCGCGCGCAUAAGCACACAGGCAUAUUACGUU